AAACCCUAGAAUUUUAACGUAAUCUCUGCGGUAGCGAACUGAAAAUCUCCGACCUUGCGGAGACGACAUGGGAAGAGUUAUUCGUGCUCAGCGUAAGGGAGCGGGAUCCGUCUUCAAGUCCCACACCCAUCACCGGAAGGGUCCGGCCAGGUUCAGAAGUCUUGACUUCGGCGAACGGAAUGGCUAUCUGAAAGGAGUCGUCUCUGAGAUUAUUCACGAUCCUGGCCGUGGAGCACCGCUUGCUCGAGUUACCUUCCGCCAUCCUUUCAGGUACAAGAAACAGAAUGAACUGUUCGUUGCGGCUGAGGGUAUGUACACUGGCCAAUUUGUUUACUGCGGGAAGAAGGCAAAUCUCAUGGUCGGAAAUGUCUUGCCCCUUAGAUCGAUUCCUGAAGGUGCCGUCGUUUGUAACGUCGAACACCAUGUCGGCGACCGCGGUGUUUUCGCUAGAUGUUCCGGAGAUUACGCGAUUGUUAUCAGCCAUAAUCCCGAUAACGACACUUCCAGGAUCAAGCUUCCAUCAGGUUCAAAGAAAGUAGUUCCAAGUGGGUGUCGUGCCAUGGUCGGUCAGGUUGCAGGUGGUGGUAGAACUGAGAAGCCCCUUCUUAAGGCUGGUAAUGCUUACCACAAAUUUAGAGUGAAGAGAAACUGCUGGCCUAAGGUCCGUGGUGUUGCAAUGAAUCCCGUCGAGCAUCCUCACGGAGGAGGUAACCAUCAACACAUCGGACACGCCAGCACUGUCAGGCGGGAUGCACCUCCUGGUCAAAAGGUUGGUCUCAUUGCUGCAAGGAGAACUGGUAGACUCAGAGGACAAGCAGCAGCCACUGCUUCUAAAGCUGAUAAGGCUUAAACAGUAUUAUAAUUUAGAUUACGACUUGGUUGCUGAGGUCAUUUCAUUUUACUUCCAUCGUUCUAUUUGUGUACUCUCCUCCUCCAUUGUAACUUUUGAGAAAACAUUAAGGAUUUAUUCCGGGCCGUUGUCCAUUAAAAUCUGAGAAGGAUUGUUCUGGGCUUUUCACCCAUUGAGCCCAUCAUCAAAGGGAUUUAUUCUGGGCC